rnacentral:rRNA from 1 species
AUUGAACGCUGGCGGAAUGCUUUACACAUGCAAGUCGAACGGCAGCACGGACUUCGGUCUGGUGGCGAGUGGCGAACGGGUGAGUAAUAUAUCGGAACGUGCCCAGUCGUGGGGGAUAACGUAGCGAAAGCUACGCUAAUACCGCAUACGAUCUACGGAUGAAAGCGGGGGAUCGCAAGACCUCGCGCGAUUGGAGCGGCCGAUAUCAGAUUAGGUAGUUGGUGAGGGAAAGGCUCACCAAGCCGACGAUCUGUAGCUGGUCUGAGAGGACGACCAGCCACACUGGGACUGGGACACGGCUCAGACUCCUACGGGAGGCAGCAGUGGGGAAUUUUGGACAAUGGACGCAAGUCUGAUCCAGCCAUUCCGCGUGCAGGACGAAGGCCUUCGGGUUGUAAACUGCUUUUGUACAGAACGAAAAGCUCUGAGUUAAUACCUCGGGGUCAUGACGGUACUGUAAGAAUAAGCACCGGCUAACUACGUGCCAGCAGCCGCGGUAA